GUGCUCACUUUGGCAGCAUUAAAAUUAGAACAAUAUGGAGAAGAUUAGCAGGGCCCCUGUGCAAGGAUGACACGAAAAUUCGUGAAGCCUUCCAUAUUUUA
rnacentral:snRNA from 1 species